rnacentral:lncRNA from 1 species
AUGUGGUAUAUGUGUUUGUGUACCAGGUCAUGUGUACUCAUGGGUGUGUUAUGUGUAACAUUCUUCUCUGUAUAUGUUUCUCUUAUUGGUUAAUGAAUAAAACACUGGUUGGCUAAUUAGCCAGAUAGGAAGUGACAUAGCUGGGCAGAAACUUGCCACUAGCUAAUCAUAGAAGUCAGGAGGUCUGUACUGAUAAACAGGAAGUGGCAUAUCUGGGCAUAAUCAGUAUAUAAGCAGGGACAAAGAGGAAAUCACUCUCUUCUCUGUGGAGACUGAGCAGUCAUCAUGUAGCAGGCAAAGGAGUUGCAGGUCCAGCAUACCCUGGUGUUUUGCCUGCAUGUAUAUCUGUGCACCAGAAGCAUGCAAUGCCCUUGGAAGUCAGAGGAGGGCAUCAUAUCCCCUGGAACUAGAGUUACAGAUGGUUGUGAGUCGCCAUGGCUAGGAAUUGAACCCAGGGCCUUGUUCAUACUAGGAAAGAACUCCACCACUGUUGUUCGUAACUCCAGCUUCAGGAGGUCUGGCACCCUAUACUCACCUCCAUGGACAUCUGUACACACGUGACAUGCACGAAUACAUACAUAUAAAUAAAAAUAAAAAAUAAAUUGAAAAGAAGAGAAUUCUGUGGCCAGUGUGCUCUCUCCAUUGGAACUAUAAUAUCCUGUGGAAUCUCCUGAGACUGUACAAGUGGUUGUUUUGCUUUGCCUUCACACCAUUAGAGACAAUCAUGAAGCCAGAAGAGUGACUCACAGCUAACAAAUUAUGACAUGGAAUGAACAAAUAUCUGAUUGCUUAACCAGAGUUGGAAUAGACAUUAUGCUAAGACAUUGAUUCCAGUUGUGUGUGAAUAUGUGUGUCCACAUGUACCCAUGCAUGUAUGCACGUGUGGAAUGAAUUAACAUGAAAAUCAUACAUCUGACAUUUUAUAGUUUUCAAACUUACAAAUAAAUUUGGAAAAACAUUGAUCUGAAGUGUUGUGUCUUCCCUGAAAUGAAUGAUUAUUCCAUGGGUUAAAUGAACUAGCCAAGCCUGAUUUCUAUUUCCCAUCCUAG